GGUGGCUCAGUGGUAGAGCGCUUGCCUUGAAUGCAUGAGGCCCUGAGUUCAAUUCCUCAUCACCA
rfam:Dipodomys ordii contig_61482, whole genome shotgun sequence.